rnacentral:rRNA from 1 species
AUGGCUGACAUCAUGGCUCUCCUCGGGGAUCUUCUAUGGAGGAUCUUCCUUCGCCCAACACCUAUAUACCCGCAGCAGACCGUAUCCUGGCUGGCCCCAUAUGCGAGAUCUGCUCGCCGGGGUAAUGCUGAUACUUUGUUGGCGUGGGAGAGGAAGACGAAGAUCGACUGUGCUCAUAAAACGAGAGGGGACCGCUUGCUAGAUCCCCCUCCUCAUCCUCGACAUUCUUGCCACGCGGUAACGCUGAUCCUGUCGAGAUGUAUACAUGUGGAGGAAAUAGAGUCUACCCGUGCGGGUCGUUUGAUCGGAGACCAUUGGUCGACAUCGAUCGCCGUGGACGGCCGAGUUUUACGUUUGAUAUUUCCAUCUCUACGGGAGAAAAAAAUGAGAGGAAGUGAUCAAAUGGUGAACCCCCGUUAUGCUUGCGUUGAAAUUAUCCACGCGGACAGGCGGGCCGUGUGCGCGUCUCCUCCCUUGGCCCACCUGUCGGUGCCACCGGGACGCCUUUUUCUAUCCGCCCCCCUCCCUCCCUCCAGCCGCACCCCUCCACUCUUCUCCAUUCUUCUCCACUCUUCCCCUCGCCGCCGCCGCCGCUGCCAUUGCAGCUGUGCAGUUCGGACGCACGCUUGCCCAGCCCCUUCCCCUCGGCGCCCCCGAGCUACCCAACCACGACCACCUGAUCUACGCACCCGGCGGCCGGAUCCGGUCGGUCUUGAAGUCGCCCGGCUGUGGGAGGUUGCGUCGUGCCAUGGACUGGCCGGGCACCGGGCCGGAAGGCCCUGGCAAGGCCGCAUGCAGGUAGUGGCUCCUCCUCUAGCCGCUCGGAUCUACACCGUCGGUGGUCCACCGGGCUCGGUGCUAGCCCAAAAGCUCAUCGGCGGACCGUUGCCACUCAUUAAGUGCGACCACUGCCCAAAGAAGGUCGUGCGCCAUGUGUCUACAACGCCGGAACAUCCCGGAUGGGUGUUCAUCAAGUGCUUAAACGAUCGGUCACGCCUCUUUGCCCAUCUCCUAGCGCUUGCCAUCGACGGUGGCGGUGGUCCAGAUCCGGCGCCAACCUCCGGGACUACGUCCACUAUAGGGGUUCCCUGCCUCCUCCAGGUUGACCCGCUCCACCACCCAGGCGCCCCCGGCGUCGUGCUCCACAUCGUCGAGUGGGAUCCGGCCGUCGCCACCGCCACGGUCUCCACCUCUCCAGGGGCAGCGGGCGCCCCUCCCCCCUCCCCCGACGGGUUCGUGACCGGGCUGAACACCCACGGCACGGACGUGAAGACGCAGCCCGACGGCCGCACACCAAUGCUCUUCUUCCUCCUCGGACGGUGA